rnacentral:lncRNA from 1 species
GCUGGGAAGGACAUCAGAAACAAAACAUAGGCAGCAGAUGUCCAGAUAUCAUGCACAGAACAUGAGCAACGUGGUAACCUUGAGAUUACAGCACAGGGUGACAAACAAGACCUCACAGAUACCACUGAGAGUUGGCGGGCUGGAACAGAUCCAUGGGAACAUAGUGAUAGAAGGGUGUGCUGUGUACAAAAGACCUGUUGAGAGGAGGAGAAGCUGCACUGUAGGCUGUGAUAACAAUAGAUUGAGAGGAAUCUCUGAACACUUGGAUGAAGAUGAAAGGACAGAGGAACACAAGUGACGUUUUUGUGGAAGCACAGCUGAGCCACAUGGAGGAAAGCCACAAAAUUGGCACAGUACCCACAAUUAAUGAGGAUAAGAUUCAGGAUACUUCAUUCAGAUAAAAGCAGAGGUUUUCACUUGCCUCUCUAACAAUUUUAUGUCCUAGAAGGUAGAGGAAGGAAUAAAAACAACUGUGCUCUGACUGAUUCCAAUCCUUAGGAAGAAGCCACCUGGCAAAGUGGAAAGGAUGAGAACUAGAGAAUGUGCCUGUCAUCUUCAGGGGAGAGCCUGAUGGAGCUAGAACAAAGGUGGAUACAGGACUUCAGGAAGUUAGACUCCAAAAUAUUUUAAGAAAAUAUGGCGGCCAGGCGUGGUGGCUCACGCCUGUAAUCCUAGUACUUUGGGAGGCUGAGGCGGGCGGAUCACAAAGUCAGGAGAUCGAGACCAUCCUGACUAACCUGGUGAAACCCUGUCUCUACUAAAAAAAAGAAAAAGAAAAAGAAAAUAUGGCAUAAUUCCACAAGUUUCUAGAAAAGGAAACAGUAUCAACAAGCACUCAAAAGCAUGGCUUUGGAUAAUUCCAAUGAGAAGACAAGAGAGAAGGGGAGACUCUCAAAGAAACUAGUGAUGGCAGAGCCCUUUAAGCAAGGACGUAGAAUGGAUGUUCAAAAAGAUGGAGGUGUGAUCCAGAGAACAUGCCUUUCACUGUGAAAACCAGCACCUUCAAGGCCAGGCGCAGUGGCUUGCGCCUAUAAUCCCAGCAUAUUGGGAGGCCGAGUCAUAGAUAGCAGCUAGGACGGCAGUCCUCUGGAGGCUGUGCUGCAUGGAGACAUCCAAGAUGACUUCUCUCACAUGUCUAGCAACUUGAUGCUUCUCCACAUGGCCUGUCUCCUCAUCCUUAGGGGUAUCUCAUCCUCCAGGGUUUCUACACAUGACCACUUUCUACAGCGUGGUAGCUGGAUGCAUACAUUAUGGUCCGCUUUCAUGAGUGCAAAAAAGGAAGGUGCCAGGACUUUUAAAGGCUUAAAUCCAAAAUGCUACAGCAUCACUGUCACUGCAUUUUAUUGAUUAAAGUCCACCUGCAAUAUGGGAGGAGACUACACAGAGGAAUAAGUACCAACAAGCGUGGUUCACUGGGAUCAUUUUUGUAUAACUAUCACAUCACUUUGUUUUGGUUUCCAAAGCUGUUGUGUUUUGGGACGUUUUUUGAAAUUACUUCAAAAAGAUUUAGAGGAGAAAAAAAUGAACUCAGUUUUAAUUCACCAUCUUAAAGUGGGAAUCCAGUAUUUGUUUUGAAAAUGGCUGUAGAAAUUAUUUUUUGGUAUUUGUGUUAUUCUCUUUUUACUAUGUGCAUUGUGUAAUACAACAUAUACAAUAAUCUCAUUUUCUAAUCCUGUCAACAUCACUUAAUUGAAAAAAUAUGGUUUUCUUUGAAAAUAAAAUCUCUCAGAAUAAGAAUAUAUUCAAUUCUUUAAUUCAAUAAACAUUUAAAA